AAUAGAUACCCCGGUAGUCCACGCCAUAAACGAUGUCGACUUGGAGGUUGUUCCCUUGAGGAGUGGCUUCCGGAGCUAACGCGUUAAGUCGACCGCCUAGGGAGUACGGCCGCAAGGUUAAAACUCAAAUGAAUUGACGGGGGCCCGCACAAGCGGUGGAGCAUGUGGUUUAAUUCGAUGCAACGCGAAGAACCUUACCUACUCUUGACAUCCAGAGAACUUAGCAGAGAUGCUUUGGUGCCUUCGGGAACUCUGAGACAGGUGCUGCAUGGCUGUCGUCAGCUCGUGUUGUGAAAUGUUGGGUUAAGUCCCGCAACGAGCGCAACCCUUAUCCUUUGUUGCCAGCGGUUCGGCCGGGAACUCAAAGGAGACUGCCAGUGAUAAACUGGAGGAAGGUGGGGAUGACGUCAAGUCAUCAUGGCCCUUACGAGUAGGGCUACACACGUGCUACAAUGGCGUAUACAAAGAGAAGCGACCUCGCGAGAGCAAGCGGACCUCAUAAAGUACGUCGUAGUCCGGAUUGGAGUCUGC
rnacentral:rRNA from 1 species